ensembl:lncRNA
UUCCUUUUUAACUAUGUAUCCUGACUCAAGCUAAUAUCCUGCUGUGCACAACUCCCAAAACUUAAAAUUAAAUGGUUUUGGCUUCAGGACAGGAAGACAGUCAAGCCAUUAGUGGACUGUGCAGCUCAUUAAGGCACUUGACUUUCAUUCCCAAUGAGUGCCCAUGACCAGUGAAUUUCUGCAUCUGUGAAAUGGAUGCAGCCAUCUCCAAGGAACUCAUCAAGGGGGUGCAAAAAAUGUUAUGGGAUCCCUUGUUAGGAACGCUUCAACUCCAGUUUGUCCCAGCUCCAUUUCACUGAAGAAAGCAGGAGAGGUAAGCUUGUCUGGGGACCAGUGGGAAAUCCAGUUAGAAAAAGCAGGAGUUGGGUGAGCACCUCCCUUGAGUUGCUCCUAGGGACUGAAAUUCUAGGCGUGUGCUGACAAAAGACCUCAAAUACCUGUUUGACCAUAUGUUGUCCUCCUUAAAAGAGUUGUUUCUUACUAAAAAUAAUAAAAUACAUUUCAAAUAGAUAUUUUAAACAACUAUAAAUUCUAGUUUACAUGUUUUUGGUUUUUUUUAUGUUCUCUGCAAUGAUUUUGCUUAGUCUUCUGCACCUGACAUAUGCAUGCUUCUCAUGGCCUGUUAGAUAUUGUCUUAAAAAAUCAUCUCAUUAUUUUGCCUUUUGAGUGGCCAGAUUCUCACAGGGAGCUUAUUUCAUGUAAUGUGGAAGUUGUUGAGUGACUGUGCACAACUUCCACUGGAAGUCAGGUCUAAUCAAAAUAUAAUUAUUCUAAAUUGUCAAGAGGCUUCAGAAACAAUAGAAUCAACAUAGAGGCGGAAACCAACUGACUCAAUUUCAGACAUGAUCCUUGUGUCCUCUGUGGGAUUUUGGCCAUUUCAAAUUUAAUUCUCCCAAGGCUGUGGUGGGUAAGCAAGGGUUGGGGUCAGGUGGUGCUUGAAGCAAUUUGACAGCCUGGUCUGGUGCACUGCUAAGCAUUGCUGGGAUCCUGACUUAUUGCCAGGAUUGGUCAUUAUUGUAGCAGAGAUGCUGAUCUAGAAGACAGUGUAGUUCAGGUUGCUUUUUUGGCAAACCCUGCAAUUAAACACUGGAAGAAGCAAGAGACAACCUGGAGGAGAGAGGAUAUGCAUAUAGCAGGAGAUUUGCUUUAAGAAAAACAAUAAAAUUUCUCUGACAGGGAGAAAUUAUGGUCCCAGGUUAACAUCACAAGGAAAAUACAAUUAAAUGCAUCUUCCCAAUUGUUGAAGAGUUGGAUGAAGAAACAGAAUCGGUCACUCAGUGUUGGUGCUUACCUGAAUCCGAAGAAUCUUUGCUCAAUUUUAGCAUGAGAUGCUGGAUGAGGUGGAAGCAGAUCCAGGAAGUAUGAUUUAUUUGUACUAAAAAUAUGUGUUAUUUGACUUUUUUUGGUGGUAAGUUUUAGGUUUAAGCAAUACAGUACAAACUGUAGACACCUUGAAGUGUGGAGUUCUUAGGCAAAAAGUCUGAAAAACCUACUAGAUAAGGCUGAAAGCAAUGGUUUGCUGACUCUGUUUGGGCUCCAUGAAUUCAGCUUUUCCGGAAUUGAGGUGUGUGCUGGUUUCUAGUGAUCCUUGGUUAUCUGCAGCAACAAACAAAGCAAUUGUGAGAGGUUCAGCUGUGGAAAGCAUCAGAGCUGCAGGGUUUGAGGUGCUGGGGCUGUGGGUUUCCCCUCUAGUCAAGGAUUUCAAGAGAAAGCAAGAGAUCCAAGCAGUAAAGUUAGGGAAAAUUAUUCUUAAGUUUUUUUUUUCUAUUAACCUCAAAGAUUGCAAUGUGAUCAUGAACUGCUUUCAACUGAGCAAUAAGAAGCACUGUACCUAGAGAUGCACAGCCAUUUUUUCUCUUUUCUUUAUUAUUUUUGCUUAUGGUAAUGCAGUUACAGACAUCCAGAGCUCUUUUGAGAUAAUGCAGAGGAAACCCUGUAGGUACAGUGACAGAAAUGGCAAUUAUAGCAACACCGGAGCAGAGAUGUCUCCAUCAAUCACAUCAUGCUCAGGUGUUGGGAGAUUCAGAUUUGGAAAAGGUGCCCCAAGGGAGGGAGCCUCAGAAAGAAAAGCAGUGCUUGAAUGGGGCCGUGAGGAUCAAAUGUCUUUGCUACGUUAUUAAUAUCUGUGCUGGCAGAUGUAGGGAAAAAGCCUGGCACGUGGGAUAUGGAGCAAAUUAUGUACGAUGUGGUGCGAGAAAGGUGUGAGCCUUCAUGGGAUGAAAUAAAUGAAUUCAGAGAGUAUUUCUUAGGCUGGAGAAGGAAGUGAGACUCUGAAGGAAGUUCUGAGGAGCUCAUGUGAAUGGAGUUCUUCAAAACAUUGGGAGAUUUGUUAAUGAAAUGGGGAAAUAUCCAUAAAUUCUCCAGUUGGCCUAAGUGACAUACAUAGGACAAACAAACAAAUUUCUGUUAUAACUAGAUUGUGGAAUUACUUUCAAGAACAUUUAGUCCAUAAACCUGAUUUUGCAAUGACUACGGUAACUCUGUUAGCAGGCAGCUCCCUCCUGUUAGUGCAAGCAGCUCUGAGGGAUUGUGCCUUCCAGAAUAAGGAUAAUAACAAGACACACUGUCUUUAAUCUUAUGUUUUGAAGUGUCUUUUUUAUUAACAAAUUGCCAUCGCUUGUUUUUAAAGCGGCAGUCAGCAAUGAUGAAUCUCACAAGCCCAGGGCUAUCGUUAAAGCAGAGACAGUGACCUUCUUCUUACUUCAUUUGCAGGUUCAGCCACUGCAGACUCCCUUGGGAUGGAAGAUUGUUUCCAUGCCAGUCUUGGGAAGCUUUACAGCUCCUGGUGAGCUCAGCUUUCUCUGCAAGCAGUGGUAAUGUUGGAGCAGGGGCUGGCUGGCCAUUACUGCUCAAGCCCUGCAUUUGGUUGAAAGAAUUCCCUGGAAGGACCAACUCGGGGCUAUAACUGAGCUCAGCACAGUGAGAUACCCAGCGUCAGUGUGUAUUGGUCCUUUUGCAUAAUGUUGCUUGAUUAUUGUUUCAUUAUUGUAGCCUUGAACUGUGCUUUCCUCUUCCAUCUGCCUCUUAACUUGCUGCUUGUGAGACUGGAUGAGAGAGAGCACCGGCGCUUCCUUCUUAGGAGGUACAGUUUCUGCAGCUGCUUCUACUUUUGUUCUAGAAGCUUUGAGGAAAACAAUAUAGAAAGUUUCCUUCUGAUAGCUGUGUGUAAUUUGUGCUACUGCCUCAGGAGUUCAUUUGCCAAGCUCAGUCUUUGCUGAAGCAGAGGCUCCAUCUCACAAACCUGAGCGUGUCCAUAUGCUUACAUGCAGAUCUGACACACUGUAAUGCUCCUGCAAUUAACUUCACUGUUAAGAUAAAGGAAGGUAGUACCCCUUCAUUUGGCGUAUCUCACUUUGACUAUUAUAAAAAAUUUAGAGUGUUAGUAAAUAAUAAAGUAGCUUUGUUUUCUUCCCAGCUCCACAGAACCAAGAGAUGGGGAGGGGGUGAGGGGAAACGAGAGCAUUAAUUUUUAAUCUCUCUCUUUUCUUGUCCAGCCUGAUGGGGUACAGAAAGGGAUGAAUCCAAGCAGCUCAGUCAAGAAUCAAUGCUUCUCCUGCAUAUUUUUAUGCAUGCUUCUACUGCACUGGAUGCAAGGAACAUACACAGUGCUGAGGUUGGGGUUCUGGCUGAGCCAGGCAGCAGGGCUUCCACUUGCACUUUGCAGCAAAAGGUCCCCAUUUUCCAGACUUGCAUCUUGCUCUUUAUCACAGCCAAGUGCAACUGAGCUCAACCUGGCAUAGCAAAAGAAGAGUGAGUUAAAUCUUGUUCCAGGAGCGAAAAAUGGAACCUCUUUCUGAUUUUUUCCUACGUUCUUUCUCCCCUGAUAGUGGCCAAUCAGAAAGGCCACUGUCCCUCUGUGAGUUCUGCCUCAGCUCCUGCCUAAAGGCCAUACCUAUGGCUCUGAUUUUUGCUGGACUUGUUCUUGCUUUGACCACCUUUGAAUCAGUCUGUGCAAAUGGUAUAAAUAGCAAACAGGGAUAUUAUUCAUUGAUUUUUAUAUCAAAUCCUAGUACUGCCUCAAGGAGAGAAGGCUUUUUAUUAUUAUGAAACUGCAAUUUUGAAAUAACCUAUUUGGUUGGUAUUGGUCUGGAUCCUGACAGCUGGUCGUGGAGAGAUGGGUUGUGGCUGCUGAUGCACAGAGCCUGAGAGAAGUGUUUCACCACAUGGGACAGGGAAACCAAAUCUCACUUUUAGUGCUGUGCUUGGAGCAAGCAGCUUGCAGAGGUAGGGCUUGAGCCUUUUCAUUGUUUUUAUGUGGCUUUAAGAGUUCCAUAUCCAAGCUGGCCAUGCCAAGUUCUCCUGCAUGGGUACUCUUGGGGCUUUGGUGUAUGAGAUUGACAUAGGCAACGGGCACAUGCUGCCAUGUGGGGAAGUCCUGAACCUGUGUCUGCCACCAGCGUGGUUAAAAGAAGAGCCAGUAAAUAAAUAUAUAUUUUAUUAAGAAAAAAGGCUGGGUGAGGUCAGCGCGGUGGCAGCCCUGAUGCAGCAUCCUGCUUUGUGCAGGCACUGCAGUCUGUGAAACUGGGCUUUUUAUCCUCUCUUAGAAGUUAUUUUGGCUCUGCUAGAAAACAGGUCUUUUAAAGAAGAAACGAAAAGAGUGAAGGAGCAACCGUGAGAAUGAUAAUGAGUUUCAUAUUCCACAAAGAUCAAAGUCUGAUAGACACUUAAAAAAACCAUCAGGCACCGGAACAUUUCGGGUAUUUAAAGAUGAUGCAGCUGUAGUUCUGUUUGGAGACAGUCUCAUUUCUUUGUAACCAAAACAUCAGUUCCUGUUUGAAGCAUUUUGUCCGAACUAUAAAGAUGUUUCCCACUCCGGCAAUUUCCCAUAAGCUGCUGUUUGAAUUGCUCAGUAGCAAUACGCUGCUCGCUUUUCAGUGUGUACGGGCGGGCAUCUGCAUUUCCUUCUGCCCAGUGCCUCUACAAAUUGCUCUCCCUGUAAAUCAAAGUGAAAUCUGAGCAGAGAUUUUUCUGAUUCUGUUUACAGCCCUGAGGUUUGUGGCCCUUUCUGGAUGUCACACUCGCAAUGUCUUUCCCGUGAAGAAUGCAAAAGUGCUCGUCUGUAGCCACGGGGAGCUGCCAACAAUAUGUGCACGUAUAUAGAUAUGUGUAUAUGUAUAUUUACAUAUGUAUUCUCUCUCCCAUCACAAAAAAUAAAGAAGUGUACUGCUAGGCUCUAAAAGUAGCCUAAUUUGUAAUUUCCUUAGUUCUCCUUGCUAUUUCUUUAUGCACUCAUCUGAGUUUGGUAGAAAUUAGUUAAGUCUUCAGAUGAUUUUGGCAAGUUUUAGAACCAGAAGCUUUUCUGAAGGGUUGCAGGAUAACCAUUAAAUGUACAGUUAUGGGUGAGGUCAAGCGGAGAAAAUGCAGUGAGGAGAGCAUGGGGCAGAGGGAUGGGAAGGAGGGAUCCCCAUGGUGUCAUAAAUAGAAAUAGGAAAGUAGGUGUCAGUGCUCCACCUGUAAACAUGAUCCAGUCUGAGUACAUCCAUUGGGCAGGAUUUAAUUAGCAGUUGGAAGUGCAUGAAGGAGAGAGGCUCUGGGAAAAACUUCCCAGGAAAAGCUCAUUCCUUUUUUCUUCAGUGGAGCGAUUUAUGAGUUGUUGAACCCGUUCCUUUGUGAUGCUACACAAUUGCUGUGGUUUUAUUGAUUAAAACGAGUCGAUAAAAAUUUAUACUUGCUUAGUUGAUGGUCCAGAGCUUUUCAGUUCCUCUUACAGGUAUCAAGGGAGAAUGUAGGCGGAGCAGUAUGCAUCUGAGCUUCAGGGAGAGCUAAGAAUACAGCAUACCCAUUCACCAUGGAUCCUGAUUUAUUCUUUCCUGGAGGAAAGUUCUCAGUUCAACAGGUAAUAUUUUUUUUUCCUAAAAGUAAAAAUAACUUUUUAAUUGCAACCAAUCUAGCUUGAUUGCUUUUAGUUUAGAGCUUUGUGAUGAUGAAUCUUGCUGAGAUAAUUGGCUUGAAUAAACUGUCCCUACCUAAAUAAAAGAUGGAAAAAUUGGAUCUAUUCUAAACAUCUGGCUCUUAGGCAGGAGGAAAACUUCAGUGAUCCCAAGGCUGAAGGCUAAGAUUAGUGCUCAUCAUCAGCACUUAUUAAUGCUCUUUUUAUUUUACUUCAGGCACAAAAUAUUCUAGAGAGUUUUUCACCAUGAUAAUGAUCAAUAGUGCUGUAAAUAUAGCCAUCAUCCCCGUUGAGCACUGAGUAAAAUCUAGAAUAACUUCUGAAUAUUGUCCUCCUCUUCCUAAACUGUUGAUAAUGUGUGUGGGAGACUUGCUGAGGACAAAUACUGCUUAGAGUUUUAGUCUACAGUGACUUGCUCCUGAAGGUUUUAAUUUUGUGGGGGUGUAUUUAUAAGAUUUCAGACCAUUUCUGGAAUUCUAAUCACAAUGCACUAAUACAAUUUUCUUUAUUUUACUUUAAAGUAGAAACGGCUGUCAAGGCAUUUGCAGACUUUCCUGCUUUGCACAGAAAUUAAUGCAGCUGUUCCUGACUGAGCUGAAGAUGACCACUUCCAGAGAAGCCCUAUCCAUGCCCAUCCAAAAGUCCCCAUCUCCAUGUGAGCAAACAGCUGCAGGUGUUUUUUAAGCAUCUGAAGUACAACUGCUGUUGUGCAAAUGGUAAGCACAGUUUUUGUCCUGGCACCCCCCGUGAUUGCAGCAAGACUCUUAACCUAUUUCCAUAUUGCAAUGUGCUGCUUCAGACUGUGAGACAUAAAUAUGUUCCCAGCACAGAUCUCCUUCCUUCUUUCCAGGCAGGAGUGGUUUAGGAUCCAGCUAGAACAUGAAACGUAAGAAACAAAGCUGUUACAAUGAGAGAUUAUUCAAGUGUUGUUGGAGAUGAGAGAAUGGAAUUAAAGAUUUCAAGAUGAUCAUUUGUGCUAUGCCAUGAUAAUAAAUUAUUUGUGCACCUUCUUAAAUCAUUAUAUCCUACCUGUCUUAUGUAUUAGAAAUCUUAGGUGGGAAGGCAGCAAAAUCUCAGUAUUUAGGAUGAAGUUAAUGAGCUGGACUACUGUUAUACCAAGAAAAGAAUUCUCAGUAGAUGACAAAUUAUUAGUACUAGAGAGCGGGUCCUUUUCAUAAUUAUUUUUCUUUGCACAAUACAGGAGAGUCUAGAGGUUCAUAAUAGAUUUUUAUAACAAUAAAGGGAAAAUUUAAAUCCUUACCAGUAAUCAAGUGAUACUGCUCUACGGUAAUGUGAUAAAUGAGGUCUGAAAGGAGAGCUAUCAUUCUGAGCCAGCGGUCCCAUGAAAGAUUAAAAUAGCUUAGAUAGAAAGCAUCAGAAAGUCAUGACUGUGGAUGAAUGAAAAGGGAUGAAUACAAGUUACCUGCUAAAUGAAAAGGGAGAAAUAGGAAACAGGAUAAAUGGCAAAGAAGGAAAAGGAAAGUGCUAAGAGUUGUGAAGGAUGCUGGAGCUGUUGUACCAGCCUUAACUUGUGAUGGAAAUGGAAACGAGAUCACAUGGCAGUUGGUUUUAAUAGCAGUGGUUGGCCCAGUGCUUGCAACUCUUUUUGCUUUCUAUCAAAAUAUGAUUUCCUAGUGUGCUGUAUUGCAAAGAGUAAUUGCUGAAAUGCAACGAGAGUGAGCCUGGAAUUGAAUGUGUGAUUCAGCAGGUUUGAAAGUCUGAAUUAUUUCUAGGAGGGGCUAUGUCAGAAGGUCUGCACAAUCAGGUUGAGCUUAGAGACCACUAAGGCAAGAGCAUCAACUUGUGAAAUAGUGUUCCUUGCUCAACUACGGAAUUUCAUUUUUAAAGUUUGCCAGUGCAUUGAAUGCAAAACUGAUAUUUAUGGCUAUAUACUAUUUUCACUUAAUAUUCCUUCCUGUUUCCUGCUUUUCCAUCUCAAUUACUCUACCAUUAGGGAAAUGAGCAGUGGUAUGGUAGCAGAAGCGCUUGUCUCUCCUGGGCUUGAAGCAUCACCAUGGAGCUGCUGGGUGCUCACAAUGUGGGAUUGUCCACCAUAGCAGCAGGCAUGGAUGUAUCUGGCCUGUCAGCCCAGGGAGACACCUCUCUGCUCUCGGGAUGGGUGCACCAGGAGGGUAUUUCAGCAGGAUGGCAGUGCAGUUAGGUGGCUGGAGUCUGUCCUUAAAGUUUCUGCUCUGAUGGAUGCUGAGCUUAGAGAGGGAUUGAGCUGUUUGGAUAUACACAGUUCUGGCUCCUUUGCUUUUUUUUUUUUUUUUUUUUUUAACCCAAAUGGGUAAAAUUUUGGUGCCUCUUACAGGACUGAGGUAGCCAGUGUUCAUACACUGUCCAGGCAUACCUUUGAACAGGGGCUGUGAAGCAGGACUUGAAGCUCGCUCUUUUAGUCCCAUUCAGAAUCUGUCUAUUCCUCUCAGUUCUGUGUCAGUCGCUUGCAUUCAAUUUGUGCCUCAAAGACAGAAUUGCUGUGUGAAGGGCUGGAGAGCCUGGCUAGACAGUCAUAUGCGUCUGUGACUAAGCUGCAUGCGAAGAACUGAAAUAAAUGAUUUUUUAAUUUGAUGUUCUUCCUGUUUGAAUCCUGAGAAUCAUUUUCCUCUUUAUUCACCGGUGAGCUUUUUUCUUUCCUUUCAGAGACCAAAUGAAUAAAGAGCUAUGGCAAAUACUGAAGGUUUAGAAUUCAGAAGGUGGCUCAUAAAAGUAUCUCUCUGAGUUUAUAAAUCAUAUUGUCCGUGUGAAAGAUUUUGGUCUAAUGACUUGAAACAAAUGGAAGUCUGAGGUGUUUUUCAAGGAGUGUUCGUUUCUCUGUGAACAACAAAAUAGCUGAACAAAGUACCGCUGCUUUCGGCAGCAGUUAAAUACACUGAAAGGAGAACAAUUGAUUGAGAACCCCAUAUGUAUCGGUGCCCUCCUUCAGAUCAAUAAAGGAACUGCUGAAGAUGUCAUUAUUAACUUCAAGUGGGUAUACUGCUGUUCCAGAAAAGGUGGUUUAUGCAGAUUGAAUUAUUUCUGUGAUGCUCUUUUCUUCCAAUUGAUUUAGCCAGCUCCUCUGUACAUUCCCAUCAUUCAUCGGAAUGGGUGGCAGCACCCAGCAGCUCCAGCUGGAGAAGAGGCAAAACCAUCAUGGCUGUGGUGUCUGCACGUGUGACCACUGCCCAUGUGAGCCCUGAGUAACGCCCCAGCGUGACAGACAGCUGCAAGUAUUUGUGAAUGUGUUUAACAUGGGAUCUAUCUCAGUGAUAAUUUUUCUGCCUGGGAAACUCAUACGAUGUUGGGGGAAAAAAAUGCUUUUGGCAAUAACUGUAAGAUGAUGGUGUUGGGGAUAAAGCUAUUUGCAGUUGCACAGUGUCAUGAUUCCUAGUCACACAGAUUUUGUUUCAUACAGCAAAGUGUAAGUAAAAUCAACAGUCCUGAUUUUUGCAGCCACCUAUGUGUUAGGAAUUGAGAGCUGUUGCAAAUCGGGCGUUUUAACAUUCCCUGAUCCAUACUCACUCUUCUGCGAGUGCACCUUUCCUCCUGCAUUCAUAGAAUUGUUUGAGUGGGAAGAGACCCUUAAAAGCCAUCAGUUCCACUUCUUGUAAUGCACAGGGACACACACAGCUCCACCAGUGCUGAGAGCCCAUCUGUAGGGCAGAUAACUGUGGGCAUCUGCAGGAAUAGGGCACCCAGCCCUCUGGAGAACUGUGCCAAUGCUUCACUACUCCUAUAGUAAUAAUCUUUUCCCCCAUACAGUCUAAAUCUCCCCUUUCUCAUCUUCAAGGCAAUCUCAGUGCAGUCCUUUCAAAUACAUUUCACAUACAUUUUCCACCUGGGGUUAAAGCCUGAACUAUCCAUUAAUGCGCACAUACCCUUGACCCAAUGCUCUGUUUCUGAUAUGAAACCAUAAGCACAGUGAUCAGCUGUGUCUGCUCCUAAUGUACAAAGUGUUUGAGUUGAUUAUAUGUUAAAAAAAAAACAAAACACCACCAACAACAAAACCAGCAAAUUGUUUUGAAGUGUGCACUAAUGAGACACAGAAAGUACAUCCUCAAGAACAGGUUGACACUGUACAAGAAGUGAGCAGGAUGGAGAGGGCUGGCUUCUGAGGGAGGCAACAAAUGGACUAAUGGUAUUUAUGUGUUAUUUCUUACUUUUUCCUACAGACAGAGACCGUGUGCAUUAUAGUUUUUUAGCCAUAACAAGGAGAUAAUAAAUCAAACUUGGUUUUUUUGUAGUUGGGCAUGAGCGCAUAAAGAAACUUGACCUCUGCAUUCCCCGUCCCAACUUAGGUGUUGCUGUGGCAUGUGCAUCAUCAGCACCACCCAAUGGUGCCUGCUUUUCUGUAUUUUCCUUUUUUCUGCUGCUCCCAAAAAGGCCCAGUUCACUGAACGCAUCUUGCCCACAGUGCUGGUGCCUUUUCUUCCUGAGAACAACAGCAAAGUGGUCCUGUUCUUCCAAUGGUUGGGUCCCAAUUGAGAGAUUCCAGCCUAUUUCUUGGACCAUGGUCUGCGAUGCUAUUUUGUUAUGGAGGUGGUGAUCACAUAUGCUGUCUAUGAUGCUCUUGCCUCUUGAGCUCCCUGCAGCCUCUCCAAUGAAACAACUUCUGUGACGCUUCCCUUCAUCUGUUUCCACCAUUAAUAAGAGUCUUUUCUUUCCCUGAUCUGCUGAUGAGUUAUUUCCUCUGAGGAAUUAAGAUCAAGAGCAUAGUUCAUGGAACGUGGCAGUCUGCUCUCUGUCCCGAGGAUCUGUGUGCGAGUAGUGCAUUGUCAGGAUUUAAUUGCAGCUUAUUCCUAGGCUUGCCUCAGCGGCUCUCGGGAUUUUGAUUGAAGGCGGAGGUAAGAGGGCAUCAGGAAGGCAGACAAAUGAAGUCUCUACAUGCAAAACAGAGAGAGCUCGAUAACCCUCAGAAAGCUCAAAUCCCCCUGUGUAGAGUUUCUAUUAUUUUAUUUUUUAAGGUUGUCUCAGCACUAUUGAUACUAAAUUAAUUUUUUGCACGGGUCUCAAUGUAGCUCUCCUGGAUGUCAAAAUCAUGAAACAAGAUCAAAUCAGAUUUUCAUCACUGUCAGUUUUUGGGGUUUCUUCUGCUGUUGAUCUGUUGUUUGCAUGUCUUUGUGUGUGGAGUUUUAUUGGUGGGUUUUAUUUUACUUGGCCGAUUUCUUGCUUGCUUGUCUAAUUUCAUGACUAAUCAGUGUUUUGGGCCACUGGGAUGGAAGUAACAAAGAAGGUUCUGGGCACAUCACUCCCCUGAGUUUCUUGCAAACCAUGUGAAGGAAAUCACAUAUUGAGGAACAGAUCUCCAUGAGGAAGAGGAGGCUAUACAAUGAAAGAAGCUGAUGAUCGUGGCAUGGCCACGCGAAUGUAUGUUUGCAUUUUUCACUGUUUUGCUUAGUUGCAAUGAAGCAAAAGGAAUCUCAAAGAAAAAUAGUGUAACUGAUCCUAUAAAAUAACAGGAAAUGGUGCCCUGUAGCCUAAUGAUGAUGGGAGGUGAAGCUGAGUGACAACCUAGCAGCAGCCAAUUAGGUCCACCAGCAGGUUUUCCAUUUACUUGUUUUAGGCAACCUUUAAAAGAGGAUGAGAAUGAGGAUCCUUACAGGAAUUGCUGCAGGUCGAAGCUGCAACUUGGCAUAGUGGAUGAAUGCAGCAUAAUUGAAUGCUAUCAACAAAAUUAUCAUUAAUAAAGAGAGAUUUGACACUUGGCUGAAGCAGAGUGCACAAGUAAUAACAAACUGGAGGAAUGAAAACAUAUCUGAUGUAUUGAGCAGAUUCUCCUGGAAAAUGUGAAAAAAUAGAUGAUUCUGGAGGGAAGAAAGCUGAGGCAAGGAGGAGGAACAGAAAAGUAGGUGAGGAGAGAAUUGAGGUUAUCUCAGUGGUAACCAUUAAAACGGGAUUGUUUGCCAAGACCUCCCACUGUAAGGUAGGCAAAGAGUUUUCUGGACCAGGAAAUGUUCUUAUGUUCUUCCAUACAGCAGUCCUACCAAUGAGCAGUAGCAUUAAAGAUGCAUCUAUGAGCGAUCUAAAAGUUGCUAACGUGGAAAUAUUGUGGUAUUCUAUGCUUAUUGUUUUAUCACCAUAGCAGAGAAAGAUCCCCAAUGACUAAAUUGAAAAAAGAAAAAGAAACAGUGGCUAUAUUUAGCUCUCACACAGAGAUCAAUGUGGGACAGAAUAAACCCAGCAUAUUUAGGAGAGCCCUGAGGCUUUUCCAGUCCGUGAAGGAUGCCUGAUGCACAUUUUGAAAUUCAGCAAAUAAUGUUUUUCCAUUGCUGUUAACAGUCUAAAGAUAACUCAGCUCCUCCCUAUGUUUUUCAUGAUGUUAGUCCUGAUAAGUAUGCAUUUCUUUUUAGGACUAGGACCUAAAGGACCAAUCCUUCUGCAAGUUGCCUUAUAUACAUUUUCAACCACAAUCCAAAUGGUCACAAUCCCAUCAGACCUCAUGUGCUCAUGGAGCGCUGCAGCUACUAUGUAUGGAAUCAAUCAUCCAGGAAGCAAUGCUGUAGCCAUUGAGGACUCCUUCAGACCAAGGAGAAGCUGAAGUCUGGGAGUGACCUGUCAGCAGUGAAAAGGGUUUUUUCAUAAAGUCGACAGGUAGAAGGUCCCAUCAGAAUGAUUGCUCCUUCAGAAAAAUCCAUUAAUUAACACUUGUCAUCUGUGACAGUCACAGGUAAUUCUCACACUGACAGGUCUUUGCAUGCGACAAAUGGAUUCCCGUUAUUCCUUUGACAACUGGACCAUGAAAUCUAAUUUUGCCAGGACAGUAAAUGGUAUCACUGUUUAUGCCAGCUUUUGAAAUUCAUCAAAAUGAGCAGAAUGUUCCUGCAGAUGGAGGAGGAAGAAGCUACAGUGCACGAGGAGCACGGGAUUGCUCUUCUCAGGACAAAGAGCAUCUUUCUGAUGAAUAGCAGCAAGUAAUUACAGUCAAUUGGUCUCACUGGAUGAAGUUUGAGGUCACAACAAAAAAAAAGAAAAACUAAACCCAAACCCAAUAAUUCUACAACAAUUUUACUGACUGCUUUUUAGCCACAAGGAGUUAAUAAAUUAAUGAAUGCUUAAAAAACAACAGAACACAGCAUUUCUAUCCCUCUCUACUUACUGUUGGUGCAGCCUCAUCUUGAAUAUUGUCUGUCAUUCUGGUCUUCACAACAUAAGAAAGGAUGUUAAGGUCCGUGAAAGCAUCCAGAGGAAGGCAACAAUGCUGUUUAAAGAACUGGAAGAUAUAUGCUAUCAGGAGAGGCUGAGGAUGCUUGGGUUGUCUAGCAUUUGGAUAAUGCUCUGACUGAUAUACUUUAACCUUUGGUUAGCCCUGAGAAGGUCAUGUAGUUGGAAUGGUCCUUUGCCCCUUCCAACUGAAGCAUUCCAUUCUAUUUCUUGAAGAAUUUAGUGUUCUUAAAUGGGGACAGGCAAGGAAGUUUUAUGCAGGUACUGAAUUAACAGUGAUGUAAGUAAAAAUUCAAGAAAAAUAAAUUGUAGUUUGCAAGGUCAGAUUUAUGUGUCUAAAACCAUAUAUAUAACAUACAUACAUUGCUUAGACACUACAAUUGCAAACAUCCCACCAACGACUGAGAAAAAUUCACACCCUGUUGAAGCUGAUGAAAUUUUUGUCCUUGGUUUCAGAGAAGCCAGGAUUGCCUUUCAGAAGUGUAUGCAUUUGUGCUUGACUUGGGUGAGCUUCAGGACAUUCAGGAAUAACUCUGCUCUAGUUUGUGCAGUCUUCCCAAGACUUAAUUAUCUUUGUUGUUUCAUCAGCACUGGCUUUUUCCCUCAGAUAACUUGGUCAGAUGUGUUCUGGAAUGCCUCCAAUUCUCAUUUCAAUUUUUGACAUGCAACUGAGCAUAUGCUUUUGAAUCUCUUGAAGAACAAGCAUAGCACAAGGGCUGAAAUAAGGCUCAAGCACGUGAUGGAAAUGGCACAGACAUGAGCUUCUUUGCACCGAUAACACUGCUUUUCUGUACAAGUUUAUAUUUCAAGAUGCGUGAUGUACGCAAUUGACAUUAAUAACUGUGGGAUAUUACAUGGUUAUUCUGUAAAUAGAGAUAAUAUUUACUCUAAAAGGUGAGAUCUAAUUCGUAGCAGAGCUCUCCUGAGGAUUUUUCUGAAGGACAAAUGUAGAGGCUUAUCCUAUCUAUUCAGAGGGGAGUGAAAAUGGUGCAGUAGGAUGAAAAAGUUCUUCAGAUACAAUUGUGAAGUGACUUUCUGCUGUAUGACUUCUCAGUAACUGAUUCUGUUUUCCUUCCUCACCUAUUUCUUGAUGUGCAUAUCUACACUGGUGCCUUGCAGACAGGUGUUCUGGUGCUACAUGGUACUUCAGAAAAAACUAAUGAUACAACAGUAUACUACUCCUACAAGACAGCUGAUGCUGGAUUUGAUAUAUAUUUCUACUUUAUCAGUAUACUAAUGUCAGUGCUAUCUCUCUUGCACCUACCAUCAUAGUUAUCAGCAAUUCCUGUAAUACUUGGUUUCACUAUUCCUUUCCUUGUUGAUUAUUUCUACAACUUCCAAGUUUUACCAGUGUUGACUUUAUUAUAUUCCAUAAGAUAGCAACUUUCCACUUUAUAUUUUAGAAUUUCCUGCUGCUGGGGUUGUAGCAGCAUAUGUAUCUUAUAUGUAUCAGGCAUAAGUGUACUGCUGCCUUCCUUGAUUGAUGUACUGUUAUCUCCUGUAAUUUGUUGAAUCUUGCUUACUUUCUCUCCCCCUCUGUUUUCAUGAACAGGAGAGACUGGCUACUUCUCUCCCAUAAAAAUACUUUAUGUAUCAAUCAAUGUUAUAUGUGAAUUUGGUCUUUACAUCAGUGAAGUGUAGUGUGUGAUGAUGUUCAGAGAAUGUCUAAAACAGCCUAAAAGUUUGUUCCAACCUACAGCCCAUAGAUAUCCAUUUCCCCCACUUAUAUGAUGUGUGUGUGUGGUGUGUUAUUGAUUUACAGUGCUCUAUCUGAGCAACAUAAGUGCUCAAGUUACCCCAAAGUAUUUUAGAAAGCAUUUCUCUUAAUCCAACUUUGAUUUGUGUGUGUUCACCUUAUUUUUGUACUCAUUAAUGCUGUUUUAUAUUUUUUUUUGUUUAGUUGUGAUGUUCUUUAUUUUACUAGAAAGGUGGGUAAUUUUUCUUGCCUUUAUAUGAGAGAUGUGAGUGGAUUAAAAAAAAAAUUAUGAAUAUUAAGUCAAAAAUAGAAUAUUGCGCUUGCCCCAACCUGUUUUUCAUUUUGCCAUCUGCAAGCCUUUUAAAAUAUCUGUACUGUGGGAAGAAGGCAUUCAUUUUGCAAAGGCAGUUUUUCAAUUAAGUUUCUUGAUCAAACUUAGCUAUUCAGGACUUUGCUGUCUCAGAAAAGAAAGAGACUUUAUUGAAAAUCAUAUUCUUUGGAAAUUCUAGAAAUACCUAUUACUCAUAUCAUGCAAAGGUUUUCAAUAUAUUUCUGAAAUUCACCCUAAGCCCUGACAUAUGUUUCGAGGCUUUUUUUGAGACAGUGUUGUGAUUUAUCUUAGAGGUAAAUCAACCAGGUAAGAAGAACAAAGAAAAAAGGACUUCUGUAUGUAAUCUUUUUUUACUUUCUUGCAUUUUUUUGUAGCAUUCAACCAGGCUUCCAGGUGUUCGCUGUAUCAUAUCAAAGAUGUCUAAAAAUAUAUCAAUUAAGAGAGUGCUGAAAAGCAGAAGAUAUUAGGAAUUCUCUGAUUAUUUUUCUGCAUGAUGAAGGUUUCUGAGAGAGAGCAUCUAGUUUUCUUCUAGGGCAUUUGGGGUUAAAGAUGUUUUUAAUAAACUGAGGGAGAAUGGCUAACAGUAGAAGUAAAAAUAAAUAUGUUUUAUAGAAUUAAUCAUGUCUAUCUAACAAAAUGGGAAAAAGAUGUUGGAGAGAUAUAGAAGAGCUGGAUGAAAUGGUAGGAGGAUAAAAGAGAAAAGUGUUGCUAGUAACAAGUUCUUAUACAUUGGAAGAAAUGAUUUGAAACACACAGUUACCUUUAAUAAGGUUAUCAUAUGGUUAAUAAAUUUGGAGUGGAAAAAUGGCCUGGCAGUGCUGGAUGCACAAUAAAGUAAGGAUUUUUUUGUCCAUUUUAACGCCACUUAGAAAAAUUAACAAUGUUUAGACAGCUCAUAGAAAGGAAAUAGAACCCCAUUUAUUAUAGCUUGUGAAUCAGUGGUGGACCAUUUUCAAAUCAGAAAAUAAUUAAGAAAGGUGAUACUCAUACUUUGGUGAUAUUUGUGGUAAAGAAGAAUUGAAAUUUCUCAUACUUGCUAUGUUUUAUAAUUUAGGAGUCAUGGGAGACCCAAUCUGAACAGCAGCAAGAGUAAGAUCAGUUAAAGGAUAUCUUUUGCAAUGACAGUGGGAAAUGUAACAGAUUUAGGUCAGAGGCAGAUUCAUAAUCCUACUGUCUGAAACCUACUCUUUAAAUCUAGGACAGACAGUCAUUCUCAGCAGCACGUGCAACAUCACAGAUGGUCAGUGAAAGGUUCUUUCACUUUUGCAGCCUCUGCCAUCUCUUCCAGGUCUUGUCAUGACCUCAGUCCUUGAGCAUGUUUCUUCCACCUGCGCGCCAGGUCCUUCUGGAAUCCAGUCACAGAAGAUGCUAGUUGGCUUGAUCUUCUCUAUGAGGAUAUGAGAUUAUAUGCUAUUGUGAGUGUCCCUAUUUCUUACAAGCCUUAAUGUUCAACUUCCCCUAAAAAAGAUAUAUUUUUGUUUUGAUGACAAUACAACAAUACAGUGUUUCUUCAGCUGCAACAGAAGCUCCUGUUCUUUCAUCCUGUGAUGGCAAUACAUAUUGAGGUAAAAUUGCUCCUCCGGUGAGCUGGUGAAAAUAAAAAGAGGUAAAGAGAUGUUGAGAUUUCUGAGAACUUACUAACAGCUGCUGGGGUGAGUUUUUCCUUAUGAUCUUGAUCACCAGAUCCUUAGACUUAAUAAGAAUCAUGGCUCAUGAGUAUUUCUUGAUUCUUGAUUUCUAGUAUUUCUUGACUACUUUCUAGUAUUUCACAACUGUAAUUUCUCAUACUGCAUUUAUUAUUUUUUUUUAAGUCAUGUAUUGAAUUGUUGGAGUGAACAUGGCUAUUUGAGAUCAGCCCUUGAAAGAAAUCGGGUUUAAAUUCCACGUGAAGAAUGUUUUCCUGGUGUCAUGCAACUUGAGAUCAUCUAAUAUGUUCAGCUGCUAUUUUUAGACCCUUCUCAAAUACUUUACAUCCUUGAACAUCCAAAGAGAUUUGUUAAGCAAAUAGACAAAAUACCAGUAUAUACUUUAUGAAUGCAAAGUAGAAAGAUCCUUCAAACCAAAGAGUUAAUCUGUCAUUAUUAGAACAAACUACAUUUUAUAUGCUUGGGAUAGCAUUUUCAUCCACAGCUCUUGAUCAUUACUUACCACUGCUAUUAAUUUUGACUGGUUUGAGUGGACAUUCUGUAGUUUUGGAAAAAGCUCUGCAUGGCUUCAUACACUUCCUAGCGCCAUUCCUAAAGGGCCAAAAUAUAUGUAUUUUUACUUUUUUUUACUUUUAAAAAAAUUACUUUUUAAAAAAUUAUUAUUGUUGCAGAAUUAACUUCCUUUAGAACUAUGUAAAAAGAAACAGCUGCACGUUGAAUCUGCUGCUGUUGCUUACUUUCCCCUUUGCCUCAUAUCAUACCAUCUUUUACCAAUCAAAUUUAAACGUCUUUAUGUUAAUCUGUUAUUUUACAUCAAAAUAUUCGUAGUAUUGGUCUACAUUCUGGCAGAUCGCUUUAGAAUGUGAGUCAGCAGGUAGGGUUAUGAGUAUGGAUAUGGAACCAGGGAAUGCGGAUCACGUUGUUUUAUCAAAUCUAAGUCUUCAUAAUUGAUGCCUUUAAGAGAAAUAAUGAAACAGUUAAUCAACUUUUACAGCCCCUUGACCAUCCUAACUUUCAGAGGUGCCUGAAUACAUGUAAUAUAAAGAGCUGAUACUCUUUCCCCUUGGGUUAUCUUUCAAAAGGCAUUUGUCUGAUUUGUUUCAUUGAGUCUUUACCCCAUUCAAAGACAUCCUGUGUUUCAGGAAGACUGUAAAAUCGUAGAAUAAAUUUUAUUCUAGUAUAUCUUGCCCAUUAUCAUCAUCAUUAUUAUUAUUAUUAUUUGUAGCUAAAUCAGCUCACCACACUAUAUUUAGCAGAAUGCCAUGCUUCCGAACUGGUAAAACAAAUUUGUCUGGGCUUUCAACAGUGCUCAGUAAUGAUGAAUAGAGAUGCCUUGAAUGCGAUUUUUUUUUUCUUUUGUACAGUACAUUCUGUCUUUAUAAUCUCUUGAAAAAUUCUAUAUAUGCAAUUAUACACAACACAAUAUAACCAGAGGAAAGCAUAAAGCUUUUACAUGUAUUUUACAGACAUAUACACGUUGUUUAAAAAACUUAUUUAAGAAUGUGGAUUACCCAUUGUAUCCGUGUAAUUUUCAAAAAGACAGAAAAGCAGACACUACAAGAGACUGUCAUUUAGAUCCAGACUGUCACCAGCCUGAGACGAACCUAAAGGAUGAAGACAAAUAUACAACUGCAUAAAAAUAAGUGUUUUGACCCCUUCAUGUGUCAGUCAUUCAUCCUGUCUACAGUACAGCAGCACACCUGACAAAAUAGUGAGUUCUGUUGUUCCAUGAGGUUACUUUCAGAUGCUCCUAAAUAACCCCUGUUGCUGCAGCUGCCAAGUCUCAACUGAUGGAAUGUACUUGGACUCAGUUACUCGCCCCUUUCACAGGGGGCAUAAAAGGAAGGCAGCAGUUCAUCUUUAUGAAGGUUAGAAAACAGGAUGGAAAUCUUCAAAGUUGGUUGUGUUCUAUUAUUGGAGGAACAGUGCCUUGCCUAAUGUGUACAAAAUCUGAUAUCAGAGAAGAAAGGUUAAGUAUUCUGGAAUAUGUGCUAAACCAUGCAGUCCUAGAUCUCCUCUGGAUGUAAAAAACACAUUCAGUCUGGGAUAUAUGGGAAAAUAGCCCUCUAGAUGUUCAGCCCUGUAUUUUGACAUUCUCAUCUGUAAAGGUUAAAGUGUGCUUCUUGCCUCCUGUGGGCAAGACUGUCUUGAAACCCUAAUAGAAUAAAGGUAUUUUGAAUAGCUAAGUUUGGGGGCACAAAUUAGAAACGUGGACAGAAGCUAAUCAUUUUUACUUUUAUUAUUUUUCCCUAUCUCCACCAAGGUUCCCUUUUGAAAGCUGUCCCUCCGAUUAUCUUCUAAAAUUGUUUAAAAAGUUUUUGUCCUGGUCUGUGUAACUGUGUUUGCCCUUUGAGGCCAUUUCUCCUUGGUGGUUUUGAUGUUUCAGGAAUUUGACCUUUCUGAGUAUAAGAACGCAUCAUCUGAAUUAGAUAAGGUUUUUUUAAUCCUCUCAGGCAGGUUGCAGAAGCCUCUUCAAUUGGCAGAAGAGAUCAGGAUGGACAAAUUUUAGCUGGGGGUACUGGUGCAAUUUCUGUAAUGGGGAUGAAGGGGGAAAUAAAUGACAUCCUUGAUUGUCCUCUGGCAACAUCAGCAAAUGAUGUUUGCAUUUCCUACAUCACAGAAGACUCAGAAGAAGAAUUUUGAUUAAGUAAGAACUGCUCAUCACAUGAUACUCCUCAUAGUUCUUGAGAAACUCAUUUAAAACUUCUCAGGUUCUUUAGUCAUUGGAUUGCAUCUGCUGGUAGGGAUAGAGUGUCUUUUUUUUUUUUUUCCUAAAUAAUACAAAUGUUAUUUAUUAUUGCUUUUAAAUUGUGUGCAUUACUAUUAUCACAUAUUUCUUUCAAGACCAGCUUGAUUUUUUUGCUUACACAUUUUUUUUUUGGUGCAGUUUUCACUGAAAAGAUUCCCCAGACAGUCAUUUUGUAGGUAGAUGAUGACAGUCAGAACUCCCGUUUGAAGGCCAACUGCUGCUUUAGUUCCUGCAGCUCUCCUGAACACACUGGAUGGCUGCCAUCAGCCAUAAUGUCCCUGUUCAGAUGUUCACUUUCAGUGUAUGAAUCUGCCAUAUGAAUCUCAAAACGUGCAACCUACAAACUCAUUUCUUGUCUGCGGAUUUCAAGGGAUGUUCAAUACAAAAGUGUGUGAGUUAUUUAUGUGCGUUUACCCUUAUGUGAUGAAGACCUGAGAUCAUAAGCUCUUCUGAACAGCAGUUUAAUUUUCUAUUACCACCAAAAAAACCUUUUCCAUUCUUUAAAAUGUCCACAAGAAUGUAAUCAAAUCCUACAAGUGGCCUUGCAAGAGACAGCAUUGCGCUGGAAAGAAAUGAGAAAAACCAUUGGCCAACCACAGAAUGGUGCCUCAAGGGCCUGUGCUGGGCUUGCUGUCAUUUGCAAUGAUGUUUCCAUACUUUUCUCAAUGUGAAGGGGAGCAGUGAGAGUAUUUUCAUCCUUUCCUUUUCUGAUCCCUGAGCACAGAGAAAGAGAUUAUUACAAUCCUUUAAAAGGCAGUGUUUUUCCUUGCACUUCUGCAAGUUCGCUAUAUUCUCCCAUGUAAAAAGCUUUUAUGUUUUACCAUAGAUCAGAACAGUGCAGAAACAGUGCAUUUAAUUUGUUUCAUUGAGCUGUUUUAAAGAACUGAUGCUUUUAUAGUACUUGCAGAUGAGAUAAACGACAAGCAUAAAUUAGAAUUCUUACUUGCAAGAAUAAGGUAUUGUCUGUAAACAGUCUGUCUAUUGGUUAGAGUAAUAUAUUUGCAUAUAUAACACAUGAAAAAUGUCUGUUUAGCUGUUUUCCUCCCACCUACUUGAAUCACAAAACCAGACUGAAUUGCAGUGUGUGCCUGAAUUUAAAAAAUAAAAAUAUGGAGCAGUUAAAAUAAUUAGAGGUAUUGUUUUGAAUGGAUGGAGAAACUGUUGUGACUAUUGUAUAGGUAUUCAUACAUAACAAUGUUUAAUUAAUGAUUGCCUGUUUUCUUAUAUAAUGUUGUGUUUGUUGUUCUGGAUCUACUGCUGUAAAUGAUGCAGCUCAGCUCUUCAGCUGAGCUGAGAUACACUGAAGUAACUUUUGCUAAGCCAAGUUUAGGAGUUUGCUUUUGCCAAAAAGCAGCUAGUUUACAUGCUCACCUUCACUCCAAGUGGGCAAUGGCAAGAGGAAAGCAUCAUUGUCAUGGGAGCUGUGCUUAGUUAUUUGUACAGAGAUCAUACCCUUAUUGAAAAACAUGAAUAUUGCCAACUGUUGCAGAAAUAGCACAGUGAGUUGGAAGGAAUGGGAUGACAUGCUCAGAAAAAAAAAAAAAAAGAAAAAGAUUUUGUGGAAAUAAAAACUUAAAGAUGGAAUUCCAACUACUUUCUCCUGUUGCGGCAGUCAGAAGGAAGGCAAGGGAUUAUAUGAGAAGUGUAAGACUACUGCAAUGGGAUCAUCCCAGGGUUUUAUUCAAAUACAUUCUUAUAAAAGAAAAAACUGAAUAGGCUCACAGAAAUAAGGAUUUCUAUUGCAGAAACUUAAAAAAAAAAAAAAAAAAAAAAGUGAUUUUGCAGUAUGGGCUCUUCGAGCCAUGAAACAAUGCAAUGUCCCAUUUCCAGGGAGAGAAGGCUGAUGCUAUCCCAUGGAUAGCCAAUGGAAGAAGUCUUGUAGGGAAGCGAUUCCCUUGUUGAAAGGGUGACCAACUGAGCUUGCAGAAGCUUUUGUUAAAACGUGUGAAGCUCUCUUUUCAGGACAUUCGUUGCAAAUUUUUACUGUCCUUAGUCUACAUCGUGAGCCCUUCUUCAGGAAGGGACAAGAAUGACUACGCGGCAACAAAACAGAAGAGCUCUCAAUUACCAUAAAGGGUCCUUUUGUCUCCUUUGUGCUCCAUAACAAUGGCAAACUUGUCUUUCUAGGAUGGCAUAAUGGUGACAGUAGAUGUAGAGACCGGGAGCUCACUCUGACCACGCCAAAUUUGGUCCUGAAAGCCCUCUGUCGUGCAAGUGGAUUGACCUGGCUCUGGGAUUUGACAUCUCUCAAACCUUCUAUUGCCUUUUGAAGAAAAUAAUAGAGGAGAGGAUUUGGGUGCUGGAAGAAUCUCUGAAAGCAAAGAAAUUUCAACUCAAACGAAAUAUCGAGGACAAAAAUGUACCACUGAAGACUUCAGAAGGAAUGAUCAAGGAGAAGGGCGUGGGAAGGGAAUAGGCUUCAGAAUAAAUUAUUUCCUUCAUUUAUUUGGAAACCAACAAAUGAAACUGGCUGUAGGAUGUGGGCAAGAAACUGUUUUCUUGCACCUUCUAAACAAAUGAACAAAACACUGCCAAACUUUCAAAAGAGCUCUUCUACUGGAAGAAAUCUAAAGAGAUGUCCAGAAGUAAAGGAGCACUGAAAAUCCCAAAAGGUUGGUCAUUCGUCAUAGCUGUUUACAUGUCAAAUAGCACAUCUGAAGUCCCAGAAGUGCACCGAAUAACCACAUGUAGUCAAAAUAUCUUUGAAAAUGUGAUAUAUGCUACUAAAAUAUCUCCAGAUUAUGACAACAGAUAAAGUACAGAGAAUAACUCUUCUAUAUGCUGCCUGAUAACUGAAGACAGGGAGACUUUCAGUGUGGUGAUUCCCAAAUUUUACUGCGUGAAGCCACUAAAAGUAAAAACUGCGUAUGUUUGAAGUCCAAAGAAGCUGAAUAACUAAAAAAUAAUGUCAAACAAAUUUUCUGAUUGCUGGGUAUUGUUUCUCCUGGAACACAAUGGAUUUCUCUGAGACACUGCCCAGUGGGGACAUGGCCUGUGACAGUGGGACUCAACUAGAAGAUUAUAUCUUCCUUUAUUCUCUGGAGUAUGCUGUGCCAUAAGCUGUCAAUUUAUCCUGGUAUUUUAUACUACCUUCAGAGCAUGAAAGUAGGUCACUGCAGCACAGGAAGGGCCUUGUACAGCAGAAAACAGCCACACAGCCACUGGGGAUGGAGCUGCAUGAGGAACAUAGAGUCAUACUGUGGUUUCAAAGCUGCCUCUGCAUGAGCAACACGGUUCAGCAGAUCCCAGCUCUGGAGACUGUAAUGUCACCCAUGGAGAUGCUGCGUGGGCAUUUCUGCAGCCAGGCUCCAGCACGUACGGCUGGAGAAAAGAAAUUAUCUCGUCUGUGGCAAGAAGGUGGGACAGGAACGUGCCGAAGUCCUGCUGCAGGAGGAUGGCAUGUACUGUUCCAGGGGAAGAUGACUGGAAUUCCUGAUCACUUGGAACCUGUGGGCACCCACAAAAGGCAGCAAAGUGGAAAUGUGCCACUGCCUUUCAAUGGACGUUGUAGUGCUGAAUGGAUGCUGACGGUGGACAAGGAGGUCUCCUCUGUAGCACUCCCAUUUCCUCAUCAGAAAGGAAGGCAAAGAGACUUGGCUAGUGGUAAAGAUGUUCAACUGGAUUUGAGGCUUUUUUUUUUUUUUUUUUUUAAUGAGAGACUGGCUUCUUUUUUUGUCUUUAUCUCCAAAGGAGUAAAAUUGCUUUUCCUGACUGUAGAAAGAUGCUUCAGGAAUUUAAUGCAAUAGGGUCAUAUUCUGGCUAUCAAUAUUAAUGCUUUAAUCCUGGAUUUGGAAGUGCCUUCUAGAAUGAAACCAGAAAAUUCUGCACUUUUGAAGAGUUAUUAAUAAUACACGAGGAGCAAAAUGUAUCACAUUUGAGCUAUAUAUGUGGAAAGCUCCUAUUGAAACAAGUGUGUCUGAGAUGAUUUAAAGCUCCUGAAAGAAAUCCUGUAUAGGUAAUCUGUAGAUUUAUUGUUAAUUGUUAUCAAAUAGGUACCUAAGGAGCUAAAGGGUUUUAUUUGUGCAAUUGCUUCAUCUUUUCAAAGCGAAGAUGUAUUGAAAGCAGUGGAAGAGUAAAAAUAGAAUUAUUAUGUAAAAUUGUUUUGGAAAGAAAAUAAAGUGUUUUUGCAUCUCAACAUCCCA